UACGUAGGGCGCAAGCGUUAUCCGGAAUUAUUGGGCGUAAAGAGCUCGUAGGCGGUUUGUCGCGUCUGCCGUGAAAGUCCGGGGCUCAACUCCGGAUCUGCGGUGGGUACGGGCAGACUAGAGUGAUGUAGGGGAGACUGGAAUUCCUGGUGUAGCGGUGAAAUGCGCAGAUAUCAGGAGGAACACCGAUGGCGAAGGCAGGUCUCGGGGCAUUAACUGACGCUGAGGAGCGAAAGCAUGGGGAGCGAACAGG
rnacentral:rRNA from 1 species